rnacentral:rRNA from 1 species
UUCCGGUUGAUCCUGCCGGACCUGACUGCUAUCGGAUUGAUACUAAGCCAUGCAAGUCUUUGUAGUAAUACAAGGCAUACGGCUCAGUAACACGUAGUCAACCUACCCUAUGGACGAGGAUAAUCUCGGGAAACUGAGCAUAAUACUCGAUAGAUCAUAAUGCCUGGAAUGGUUUAUGGUUGAAAUGAUUCGUUCGCCAUAGGAUGGGACUGCGGCCUAUCAGCUUGUUGGUGGGGUAAUGGCCCACCAAGGCGAUUACAGGUACGGGCUCUGAGAGGAGUAGCCCGGAGAUGGGUACUGAGACACGGACCCAGGCCCUAUGGGGCGCAGCAGGCGAGAAAACUUUGCAAUGUGCGAAAGCACGACAAGGUUAAUCCGAGUGGUUUCUGCUAAAGGAACCUUUUGUCAGUCCUAGAAACACUGAUGAAUAAGGGGUGGGCAAGUUCUGGUGUCAGCCGCCGCGGUAAAACCAGCACCUCAAGUGGUCAGGAUGAUUAUUGGGCCUAAAGCAUCCGUAGCCGGCUCUGUAAGUUUUCGGUUAAAUCUGUACGCUCAACGUACAGGCUGCCGGGAAUACUGCAGAGCUAGGGAGUGGGAGAGGUAGACGGUACUCGGUAGGAAGGGGUAAAAUCCUUUGAUCUAUUGAUGACCACCUGUGGCGAAGGCGGUCUACCAGAACACGUCCGACGGUGAGGGAUGAAAGCUGGGGGAGCAAACCGGAUUAGAUACCCGGGUAGUCCCAGCUGUAAACCAUGCAAACUC